GACGAACGCUGGCGGCGUGCUUAACACAUGCAAGUCGAACGGAAAGGCCCUGCUUUUGUGGGGUGCUCGAGUGGCGAACGGGUGAGUAACACGUGAGUAACCUGCCCUUGACUUUGGGAUAACUUCAGGAAACUGGGGCUAAUACCGGAUAGGAGCUCCUGCUGCAUGGUGGGGGUUGGAAAGUUUCGGCGGUUGGGGAUGGACUCGCGGCUUAUCAGCUUGUUGGUGGGGUAGUGGCUUACCAAGGCUUUGACGGGUAGCCGGCACGAGAGGGUGACCGGCCACAUUGGGACUGAGAUACGGCCCAGACUCCUACGGGAGGCAGCAGUGGGGAAUAUUGCACAAUGGGCGGAAGCCUGAUGCAGCAACGCCGCGUGCGGGAUGACGGCCUUCGGGUUGUAAACCGCUUUCGCCUGUGACGAAGCGUGAGUGACGGUAAUGGGUAAAGAAGCACCGGCUAACUACGUG
rnacentral:rRNA from 1 species